rnacentral:rRNA from 1 species
CCNCCGGCGACCGGCGCACGGGUGAGUAACACGUAUGCAACCUGGCCGUGACAGAUGGAUAACCGGGAGAAAUCCCGCCUAAUACAACAUAAUGCCGGGAGGGGACAUCCCCUGCCGGCCAAAGGGGGCGACCCCGGUCACGGAUGGGCAUGCGGCGCAUUAGGUAGUUGGUGGGGCAACGGCCCACCAAGCCGACGAUGCGUAGGGGUUCUGAGAGGAAGGUCCCCCACAUUGGAACUGAGACACGGUCCAAACUCCUACGGGAGGCAGCAG